AAAGGAAGCCGUUAUUUAGUUCUGUAGGUGUUAAAAGAAGAAAUGGAACAAAUUUUAACUGGCAGCUGUUCAAACCUGAUUGUUUCUUAUGAAUCUCCACAAAUCCUGGAUAUGGAAUUGCUCUCUAGACCUUCAGCUGCUGCUACACUCUCCACACAGUUACUCCCCAGGAAAGUCUCUUCACCUUCCAGGGACACAAAGUGCUGUAAGAACUCAGAGGAUGGAGAGACCAUUCUAGCAUUGGACAGAAUUACCAGUGACUGCAGAAGGCUUUAUGAAGGCAAGACUUGACGUGAGUUUCAAAAUAUUGGGAGUGUGUGCCAAGGAGCAAUUGAUGGAUAUAUGCUUU
rnacentral:lncRNA from 1 species